UACGAAGGGUGCAAGCGUUACUCGGAAUUACUGGGCGUAAAGGGUGCGUAGGUGGUUUGUUAAGUCUGCUGUGAAAUCCCCGGGCUCAACCUGGGAAUGGCAGUGGAUACUGGCAAGCUAGAGUGCGGUAGAGGGUAGUGGAAUUCCCGGUGUAGCAGUGAAAUGCGUAGAGAUCGGGAGGAACACCAGUGGCGAAGGCGGCUACCUGGACCGUAACUGACGCUGAGGCGCGAAAGCGUGGGGAGCAAACAGG
rnacentral:rRNA from 1 species